CCUACGGGUGGCAGCAGUGGGGAAUAUUGCGCAAUGGGCGAAAGCCUGACGCAGCGACGCCGCGUGAGGGAUGAAGGUCUUCGGAUCGUAAACCUCUGUCAGCAGGGAAGAACGGUCACGGUGGUAAGCAGCAGUGAAUUGACGGUACCUGCAAAGGAAGCACCGGCUAACUCCGUGCCAGCAGCCGCGGUAAUACGGAGGGGGCGAGCGUUAAUCGGAAUGACUGGGCGGAAAGCGCGCGUAGGCGGUAUGUCAAGUCAAGGGUGAAAUCCCCGCGCUCAACGUGGGAACUGCCUUUGAAUCUGGCAACCUGGAGUGUGUGCGAGGCUAGUGGAAUUCCAGGUGU
rnacentral:rRNA from 1 species